CGAUAAUCACUGUGGCGACGUCAACCAGGAAGUGUUUAUUAUACCCGGUGAUCGUCCAUGCUUCGGUAUCUCUAAAGAGACGAGCUGUUAGUCUAGCUGAAAGAAGUGUACCAAGACAAAACAACAAAACCAUAGUCUUGAGAAAUGGCCACCGCUAAGAAGCUGACAGACAACUAUCUGACCUGUGUCAUCUG